GAUGAACGCUAGCGGAACGCCUAACACAUGCAAGUCGAACGAGUUUUGCUUUGUAGCAAUACAGAGUAACAUUAGUGGCAAACGAGCGAGUAACGCGUACUUAAUCUGCCCAAAAGUUGAGAACAACUAUAGAGAUGUAGCUAAUUCUCAAUAUGCUCACGAUGGUGAAAUCCCAAUGUGAGGAAAGAUUUAUCGCUUUUGGAGGAGGGUGCGUCCUAUCAUGGUAGUUGGUAAGGUAAUGGCUUACCAAGCCUUUGACGGGUAGCCGGUCUGAGAUGAUGUCCGGCCGCGAUGGAACUGAGAUACGGUCCAUACUCCUACGGGAGGCAGCAGUGGGGAAUCUUGCACAAUGGGCGAAAGCCUGAUGCAGCGAUUCCGCGUGGAGGAUGACGCAUUACGGUGUGUAAACUCCUUUUUUGGUGGAAGACGAAUGACGGUACACCAAGAAUAAGGGACGGCUAACUACGUGCCAGCAGCCGCGGUAAUACGUAGGUCCCAAGCGUUAUCCGGAUUUACUGGGCGUAAAGUGUCCGUAGCCGGGUAUAUAAGUCUGUUUUCAAAUACCACGACUCAAUCAUGGACAGGGAAUAGAUACUGUAUAUCUAGAGAAUAUUGGAGGUUAGUGGAAUUUCCGGUGGAGCGGUGAAAUGCGUUGAUAUCGGAAAGAACGCCGAAAGCGAAAGCAGCUAACUAUGAUACUUCUGACGGUGAUGGACGAAAGCUUGAGUAGCAAACGGGAUUAGAUACCCCGGUAGUUCAAGCUGUAAAUUAUCCUCGCUAGGUGUCUCCAUAACUUUUGUUAUAGCAUGUGUUAUGAUAAAAGUUAUGGAGGUGCCGUAAGUUAACACGUUAAGCGAGGCGCCUGAGUAG
rnacentral:rRNA from 1 species